rnacentral:lncRNA from 10 species
GCAGCAUUGAGGGACUGACGGGCCCUGGGCCAUGACAAACAGAAGCAGAUGGGAUGAGGCCCACAGGGACAUUGUGUCAUUCACUGGGUGACCUGAGCAUUACCAGAGGCAGACGAGACUGCCAGGAAGAGCACUGUUCUCUCAUCUGGUGGGUUUGCAAACCUUUUUCUUUUACUAUUUUCUUAAAAGAAACCUCUUCUGAAUUCUGUCUGUGGCUUUGGUUGGGAUCCAGCCAAGCUUUAGUUUAAAAAUAAGACAUAUUACAUUGUUACGGAAUUAUCAAGCUUUGGUCAACGUCGACAUCAACAUCAUUAGCAAAACAUGAUUCAGGUGUUCGGCUGGGCAGACCCUCGCACAUGGCAAUCUAAAUGAAUAAGCACACUUCCUUCUCAUUUUUGAGAAUGUAGCUGAGAAGCAAAAAUGAAUACUGAUGUGGAUGAAAAUGUAAAAGGCUUGCAGACACAUACCGUGCACACCAAAUUUCGGCACACAACAUUAAGAAGGAAUAAAAGGUAAGGUGCCUGAUCCUUCGUCACACGUGUACCCACCUGAUGGCAUGCUGAUGCCCAUCAGUUGAGGUCGGUGGCGAGAGAAGGGUGGAUUUGAAGGGUCAUUUCAAAUUCUUCUGAGUCAAAGUGGCCUAGACCAGGAGCCCCCGAGCAGAGACCAUGGCUUUUAAUUUUGAAUCUUCACCAUCCAACCCGGGGCCGAGUAGCUAGGCAGUAGUUUGAUUGUAGUAACUCUUAUCU